GAGAAAGUCAUAGAGGUUAUGGGAUUGGCUUGAAACCAGUUUGUGGGGAUUCAAUUCCUUCCUUUCUCG
rnacentral:tRNA from 1 species